rnacentral:rRNA from 1 species
UGAGGAAUAUUGGGCAAUGCCCGCAAGGGUGACCCAGCAACGCCGCGUGGAGGACGAAUGUCGUAAGAUUGUAAACUCCUGUUAGAGGGGAAGAAUAGUACCGGUUGGACCGGUAUAUGACUGUACCCUCAGAGAAAGCCCCGGCUAACUACGUGCAGCAGCCGCGGUAAUACGUAGGGGGCAAGCGUUGUCCGGAUUUACUGGGUGUAAAGGGCGCGCAGGCGGGAUAAAAAGUCAGUGGUGAAAUCCUACAGCUUAACUGUAGAACUGCCUUUGAUACUUUUAUUCUUGAGUUCGGGAGAGAGAGACGGAAUUCCAGGUGUAGUGGUGAAAUACGUAGAUAUCUGGAAGAACACCAGUUGCGAAGGCGGUCUCUUGGUCCGACACUGACGCUGAGGCGCGAAAGCGUGGGGAGCAAACA